rnacentral:rRNA from 1 species
GGAAUUGACGGGGAGCACCACAACGGGUGGAGCUUGCGGUUUAAUUGGAUUCAACGCCGGAAAUCUUACCGGGACCGACAGCAAUAUGAAGGCCAGGCUGAAGACUUUGCCGGAUUAGCUGAGAGGUGGUGCAUGGCCGUCGUCAGUUCGUACUGUGAAGCAUCCUGUUAAGUCAGGCAACGAGCGAGACCCACGCCCACAGUUGCCAGCGUACUCUCUGGAGUGACGGGUACACUGUGGGGACCGCCGCUGCUAAAGCGGAGGAAGGAAUGGGCAACGGUAGGUCAGUAUGCCCCGAAUAUCCCGGGCUACACGCGAGCUACAAUGGUUGGUACAAUGGGUAUCUACCCCGAAAGGGGACGGGAAUCUCCUAAAACCAAUCUUAGUUCGGAUUGAGGGCUGCAACUCGCCCACAUGAAGCUGGAAUCCGUAGUAAUCGCGUUUCAAAAUAGCGCGGUGAAUAUGUCCCUGCUCCUU